UCUAUGAUUUGUAAAAACAGAUGA
rnacentral:piRNA from 1 species